GGAAGGGAUUCUGGGAGGUUGUGGCAGUGGAAAAUGUUCCUUUGGCCUCUGCCUACCCUCUCAGCUCUUUCCUU
rnacentral:pre_miRNA from 1 species